GUAUAUAUUGAAAGAAGAAACCGUAAGCACUCCCCUUGACAAGGAUAAAACAUAAAAUUGUUAAAGCACAACUUGACCACAUUUU